CGUUCCCGGGCCUUGUACACACCGCCCGUCACACCAUGGGAGUUGGUUUUACCCGAAGGCGUUUCGCUAACCCGCAAGGGAGGCAGGCGACCACGGUAGGGUCAGCGACUGGGGUG
rnacentral:rRNA from 1 species